UACGAAGGGGGGCUAGCGUUGUUCGGAUUUACUGGGCGUAAAGCGCACGUAGGCGGAUCGAUCAGUCAGGGGUGAAAAUCCCAGAGCUCAACUCUGGAACUGCCCUUUUUGAUACUGUCGAUCUGGAGUAUGGAAGAGGUGAGUGGAAUUCCGAGUGUAGAGGUGAAAAUUCGUAGAUAUUCGGAGGAACACCAGUGGCGAAAGGCGGCUCACUGGUCCAUUACUGACGCUGAGGUGCGAAAGCGUGGGGAGCAAACGGG
rnacentral:rRNA from 1 species